CCUAUUUUAGUUAUGUUAUGUUAUGUUACAAUAUAAUGAUUUGCUGAUUUAUUUUUACUUAAGAUAAAAUGUGCUAGCCUAAAUAAAUCUAUUUAAGUUAACUUUCAGGCCUGUGUGAUUAUUAAACCCUAUAUAUUUUUAUUUUUAGCUCUGACAUGCGUGUUGUAAGGAAAAGUUACAAAUAAAUGUUUGUUAUAGGAUACAAGUCAAUUGAAAUUAUGCUACAGAUUUUUGGAGUGGAUGUUGCACGUCAUAUGAUGAAUUGCAGAUAUAUGCAUUUGGUUGUAUCUAAUAUUCAAUGUUAUGAAUUGACAGACUUUUCAAAUCGACCAUUAUUCACAUAAUGUAUAACACAAUAUUCUAAACAAUGCUUUUAAUUUUGUUUUUUGGACGGCAUAGGCCUAUUAGAAAUAGACAAGAAAUAUACUAAUGCUAGACCGCCCUUUUAGCCAAUUUCUUAGAGGUCUAUUGUUAUAUUGUCUAACUCCUGACAAGGGAGAGACGGUUUCACAAUAUGCAAAGAUACGUGAUUGAUAACAGGCUUGCUGUUUUCCGCAAGAAUUGUCAGUCCAUGACACAAUACGUGAGUUAUUAGGGCAUAGAAGGGCAACCAUAAAUUUCCAGCGUCAGGCGAAAACCCUCUUUAUUGUCCAUAUGACGAAUGGGCUUCUGCACCAGACACCAAAUACUCGGCAUUACCCUUAAAUAGGAACACAUUUUUCGCGGCCAUAAUUCAUGAUAUUUAAAUAGAAAGUUUAAAAUGACCCCGUAUAUUUCAUAACGGCGACAUGUUUAUGAAUCACUCCCUGCAUGCACAUUAUUAUUUACAGCACGGGAGUUGCCGUGUUGGACUUUUAGUUCCACUGCCGAAUUAACUUUCCUUAGUCCAUCGAUGAAUGUUGUGUCGUUUUUGUGGAAUUGAGACAGGGAAAGUGUUCAGGGUGUAAAGUUUAGACACAAUUAUUCAGACAUUUCUGACCUUGUAUAAUGACAUUUAAUUAGACUGCAGUUUUGAAGCGGGAUGUUAUUUUAAACAGUAAAGUUUGUGCACCUGCGCGGACACAUUCUAGCAGUUCGGUUUGUUUUUAGGUAGUGUACAUUAAUGACCAACUAGGCUAUUGUUAUCAUAAACUUAAGAUGGAUUUACAUGAAGCUUAAUAUGUAGUUUUUUGGUUUAAGGCUACCGUUAGCGAAUGGCAGAUAGCUCUAAUAGGCUAGCCUACUUUCACUGACCAAGCUUAGCAUAAACCGCCGAGGAAGGCAGAAGUGUUCAACAUCAUAAUGAAAGCAUGCACGAACUAAUGCAUUACAAAAAGGUGCCAACCGAACACCAGUUAGGCUGGUUUAAAAAGAGCCCACGUAACCACAUUACCUGCAAAUAAAGAGCAAUAUGUUCCGAUGUAAAGAGACAGAUGUUAGAAUUCUGAACCCUUCUAAACGUAAUCCUUUGUUUGCUUAUAUCACAUUUAACAGACCACUGUUUCAGUAUAACAAAACAUGAAAUUGUGGGACAUGUCUAUACGAAAGGAAUAUGUGCGUUUGGCUGCUCAAGCAGGGUGCAGAGCUGAGCAAAGUAGAGAUACUUUUCCGUGUGGGAGGUUCCGAGCUGACGUCAUACUACGUUACGAGACCGAAACACGGAUAAGCCACUCAAAUAUAGCACCCAACCUGUGCUUACAGUUGUCUAGCUCAUUUAAAGUGGUAUUUAUACAAUUAUUUGAAAGUAUGUUGAACAACAAUGAUUCAACACAGAUAGAACACCACUUUUUUCCAUAGGCUUUGAGCUAGCCUAUCAUUCUUGGGUCAGCAUUUGACAUGUAUGACCAUACAAAAAUGUAAACAACAUGUUCACGUUGUUCAGCUAGAAAUCCACUCGAAGCCUAUGUUUUCACUCCAACCCGAGUUGUAACACAUGAUUCAGCUUGAUAGCAAGCUAGUUAUUAGAAUAAUGUUAUUAAGGUUGGAAUUGAGACCCACAUAGGUCUGUUGCUCUCCGAGAACAGGGUUGGUCAGCCCUGAGCUAAAUCGUUAGUUAUUUAUUGGUAGAUAUAGGCUACUGUAGCCUCUGAGACAGCCUGAUGAUACAAGUUGACCUGUAAUUCACCGAUUCACAACAACAAAAACGUUUAACACACCACUUUUCGUGAAGUUAUGCAUAUCCUAUAGGUUUGUUGCCUUACCUAUGUCCCAAAUAUUGAGUUAAAUAUCCCAGUGCGUUAUCCGCACGUGUUUCCGCUUUGGGUCAGCUGAGAACUACAAGCACGCGGAAGAAGUACAUUUGGAACGCCAAGUAGGCUACUAAAAGACAACCUAAAAACUGGUGUUGAAAGAUACUUCUUAGCGUAAUUUGUUUUAUUCCUUUAUUUCUCGGUAAGAAGGACUUCUGGUGGUUUUGCUCUGAUAACAAACUACUGGCACGCAGCAAGCAGAGUUGUCCUGUCAUCAGUUAUGGCACAAAUCGAAUCAUUGGUUGCAAUGAAUGGAACGCAAGUUUCCUAUAUUGGACAUGACUGUACAGAAAUCCCAGAGUUCCUUGGUGAAAGAUUUGGACACUUUGCCAGAAGGCUAGAUCUCAGCUUUAAUCAGCUAAGAUGGCGGUCACGUGAGGUGGGAAAUGACUGGUGGGAGUGUCAGGGAAGCCAUUUGGGGUGUGAUGGAUGGUAGCAGGCGAGGCUUGCCGGCCAUGUUCUCUGAUCUCCAGCAUGCAGUCGGUGUCUGCCAUUAUCGGAGGAGCAGAAGGGGGGAAAAAAAUAAAUGCCGUUGGAAGACAUUAUAUCUGAUUAAGCAGCUAGAUGAUGAACUAGGAUGCUGCAAAUAUUUAUCAUGUCAAAUGUAUCAGCCCCCUCUCUCACUUCUGGGAGACAAGGACAAGUUUGUGGAAUGUUUUUUUUCUUUCCCCCUUCUAUAUUACAACUAGGUGAGGCUUUCACUCAAACAUUUGAUUUGAAUUGAGAUUAGCAGAGAUUAAUUGAGUUGUUAAAUGUUCAGAAGUGUCUAACGAUGCAUGCAUUGCUAAAUGGUAAUAGAAAGGCUGCAUGUUUCACACACCAAACUGUACAGGAGGAUGUUUUGAAAGAUUGAUUGUUCGAAGUAGUCUGAAGUUUUCUGCCCAACUAAAGUUUCCACAUACUUUCCCAAAACUCUUUUGGUAAGGACUUACAGCUGAGCAGAUGUGGAUGUAGUUACUGCCUUCAGUGCAGAUACAAGGCCUUUGCUGUCAAUAAAGACUCCCACUGGUUAACGGGUCUGCGUAUGAAUUAUGAUGUCUCAUCUUGGCUUCAUUUGACCCUUCCCUCCUCUCACCGUAAGACUGCCAUGAUCCACCACCACAUUUCCACAAAACCUCCCUUUCAACUGACACAUCACAUCACCCAGUCAUUUUCCUCCUGUGUUUUAGGAGGUGUUUUAUUUUCAGAUACCCAUUUGCCAAGAGGGUGGCAUGCUUUCUGAUCCCCUGCAUGUUUGUUGAGGCAUUCUCGACCUGAUAAUAUGUACUUGUUAAGUUCGGAAUAGCUGAUCAACACCUCUUGUUGCGUGCAAUCUGUUCAUCAGAGGUGGCAAAUGUAGGCCAAGGGACUCUGGCAUUUGAUGUGGUUUGGUAUUCUAAUGUGGGCUUUGCACGAUCUCACUAACCUGGUCUUCCCUAGAGAGUGACGGCCCCAAGCCACAGAGAGAUGCUGUUAUGGAGAAGAGGGGGAGAUGUGGAAGGGUGUGGAGAACUGAUAGAAGAAGGGGUGUGGGGGGGGGGGGGUGUCAAGGAGGGAGAGGGGUGUAAGAUAUUGCUAAUUAGCAUGUGGAAGAAAAAUGGUUCUGACAGGAGAGGUAAAACCCAGUCAUGAUAAAUUUGGUGCCUUAACACUCCCCCCCUCCCCCCUUUGUCUGAGGAAGCCAACAGCUGUGGACUUAGAACUCCAUUCACCUAGCAGGAAAUCAAAAGAUUGUCCUGAGUUUGAUGUUGAGAGAAACUUUUGAGUUUGGGGGAAAAAGGGGUCACUGAUGUAUAGGGCAACGGGUUUAAGCUGUAAACCCUUCACAAAAGGUUCUAACUGAGUGAGUUUCCCUCUUCCUCUCAGGGUAAUCUUUGGAAAGUUCUAAGCACCUUCUCUGUGCAUGACUAAACCCAUUGAAGAAAAGAGAGAUAAAGAAACCCAAGGGCUUAAGACGAAACUUUCAUUUUCUGAUGAAAACAAAAUCUUCAGUAU